rnacentral:lncRNA from 1 species
CAUAAAGACUGGGAGAGCUGGCCCUUCCCUUGACAGACUGCAGCAUUGGGGAGACCUUGCCUGGGCAGCACAGUAGAGCUGACCCUGGUGGCAAAAAUGCAUUGGCCCACCCCAACAUCUACUCCAUCUGUUAUUUGCUAGAGCCCAUGAAAGUGUCAGUCCUGCAGAUCCAAAGCUGCAGGACCUUCAUGACAUGGGAUAACAACAGGUUAUCUGAGAGAAGUUCAGAUGAGCAUCCAGUAUAAAUGGUGUUGCAGAAGCCAGAGGCCUCAGACUAGACUAAUGACUUAUUGAAGUGAAAACUUGCAAGUAAAGAUACGUGGCUAAAAAGAUUCAUUGUACUUCACAGGAAAUUGAGGAUUAAGCAAUAAUACAGAAGGUGACACAGCACAUCAGUAACCAGUCACACAGUAUGAUACAGUCAAGUGGCAAAGGGAGAAGAGAAAAAGACAAAGAGAAAAUGAAGUCAUCUAACUUUAGGUCUUGAUGAUUGCUAUAUUAAAACACAGUCACCCUCUAUCCCAGAACUUUGACUGAAGCAAUAAUAGUUUGCUUUCUCAAAGACUUCAAUUAUGUGAUUGUUGUUAGGAUUAAAAGAUUGUUCUGGGGUAGAUUGGCCAGUGCCUAGAUCAACAAAAUGAAGUGGAGUAAUUCAUUCAACAAAUAUUUAUGCAACACUUUCUCAACCCCGAAGGGACACAGAAGCAUUUGCACUGAAAGUCUGCUAGAAGAGAGUGACAUUGAACUGAGUUCUUAGUAAUAGCUCAAGGGUGAAAGAGAAAAGAGUUUCCCAAAUAAUAUAUGGAGAUACACAAAGCAGAGAAAAGAAGCAGGAGUUGUGAUAAAAGUUCAUAAAUCCCAUUGUCCUUGCUGGGAUGUAAACAUUGAGUUGUGAGAGGUAUGACCACAGAGUGGCAAGAAUCAAUUGUGAGAGACUUUGCUCCAAAUUGUAAAUCUUGGGUUUUGUCUCCCUACUUUUACAAAGAUGUUAAAAGAGUUCCAACACAGAAAUUGACUGUUUAUUUGGGUAUUUCUGAGGGAUCCUUCCUGGUAGAUGUUGAGAUGCCUUUGAUUGGCUCAAGAAUGGAGAAGGAAGAGCAAUUACAAAAUAAAUAAAAAAGAAAGGACAAAAUAAAUCAUGAGAAAAACUAAGACAAUGGCCUCAGGAACAGACUAGAAAUAAUGGUUAAUUUAUCAAAAUGAUGAUUAUGUGAUAAAUUAAGAAUGUGUGAUGAAUGAUGUAUUGGUACAUUUACUAUAUACUUCUAAGAUUCCUUCUUGCAGUUCAUUUAAUAAGGUAGAAAAUAUGGGCUGAACAUAGAAAUUUGUACAGGAACAUUUUUUUUUCCUUUUUAACACACCAACUAUCAGUUUCCUGCAUGACAAACCUUUUGUGCUAAGCAGGAGACUGAAGGCUGCUAAGUGCUUGGAGGAGCUUCUGUCUACAUAUUUGAUUGGUAGAUGCUUAUGUGAGAUGCCCCAAAAAUCAUGAAAAGCUGUAGAAGAUUCAGAAGGAGACAAAAUAGAAACAGUCAAACAGGAAGAAGACCAAGAGAGUUCUGAACUCAAACCCAAGUGGAUAGGCUCCACACUGAAAAUACAGCAGAAAGGACCAAAAGAUAAAGGCCAGAAAAGGACCUCACAAUUAGAAUCAUCAGAAAUCAUGUUAUAGUGGAUAAAAGAACAAGCAGGAAGCUAAUAUAAAAUAUUAGGAAGAGUCAAAAUUAGGUGGAUUAUUAAUAUUGUGAAGGAAAGCAAGA